AGUUCCAGAGGAUGGGAAUGAAAAUGGCGAUUGGCCUCCCAAUCGCCAGCCCAGAGGAGCCGAGAGUUUGGGGCCCCACUCAUCAGGGCACCCUCAGAGAAAAGCGUUGAAUCACUGCCGUCUCCCUGGCCUCCAGUCUCGCUCCGGGCUCACCCAGCCUGUGACUGGUUCAAGUGGACCGUGGUGCUGAGGGUCACUGGGAAACCAGCAGCAGCUUCCUCAGGGACCAAACGGAUUUGUUCCUAACUCUGCAGAGUUGGGCUCUGGAGGAAGAUUCCCACCCAGGGGAUGGCUCAAGAAUAGGUCUAUGCUGUUACUUUAUUCAUCUUGCUGUGAUUGCCGGGAGCCUGACCCACAUGAAGUGCAUGAAUGCAUUCUGUCCCUCUCCAGCUAGAUGAACAGACGGUACUCACAGAGGAGCAACGCCAGACCUGCUGUCUAUGUGGUGUGACCCAAGAAACCUCAAGGUCAAGAUGAAGUGCAAUAGUUCUUCUCCUGGCCAGCAGCAGCCCAAGUCCCUACUAAAAAUUUGCAGGACUGUGAAGAAUUAUCCUGGACCGGUUUAGCAUCUCAUCCUAGCACACUCACCUGCAAAGCUAUGCUGAUGAAAGCGGUAUCUGCUAGCCAUAUGUACCCAUGAAUACUUGAAAUGUGCCUACUGCAGCAACCAGGAGAUCAAAGAAGAACUGAAACAAUUCAUGGAAACCAAUGACAAUGAAGACACUUCGAUCCAAAACCUAUGGGAUACAGCAAAGGCAGUCCUAAGGGGGAAAUACAUAGCCAUCCAAGCCUCCCUCAAAAAAAUUGAAAAAUCCAGAACACACCAGCUGUCUCUACACGUUAAAGAACUGGAGAAAUCAACAACAAAUCAAACCAACUCCACACAGAAGAAGAGAAAUAAUCAAGAUUAGAGCUGAGAUCAAUAAAGUAGAAACCAGAGAUACCGUAGAACGUAUCAAUGAAACUAGAAGCUGGUUUUUUGAAAGAAUCAAUAAGAUCGAUAAACCAUUGGCCACACUAAUCCAAAAGAAAAGAGAGAAGGCUCAAAUACAUAAAAUUAUGAAUGAAAAGGGAGAGAUCACAACGAACACCAAGGAUGUAGAAACAAUCAUCAGAAGUUAUUAUCAACAGUUAUAUGCCAAUAAGCUAAGCAACCUAGAUGAAAUGGAUGCAUUCCUGGAAAACUAUAAACUCCCAAAACUGAACCAGGAAGAAAUUGACAACCUGCAUUAGUUUUUAUAACAUGCAGCCUAGUGUAGAGUGGAUGGAUCCAGCAAAGAUUAUUGUCUUGCAAAUGGCAGCAAUGAUGGUGGUGGGUGCUCUAAUGAAGCAGCACAAAGAAGUUAGGGAGGGUUUCACAGUGGAGGUGAGGAUCGGUCGCCAUAGUGCAGACAGGCCCAAAGAAAUGUAUCUGCUUGAAUGCAGUGGCUGGAAUGAAGUGAACUCUGAGAUAAGAACUAUUUGCUGUUGUUUUAAAAAAGCAGGCUUUGAAAGGGGCUUCCACAUAGAUAAAGUUAAUCUUUUUCUUCCUCAAAUAGUUGAAAAAUUGUGUUGGAUGAAGUGUCAACAAGAAAUAUUUAGAGCUCAGAAGGGCCUUAGGAAUCCUCUAGCCCUACCUCCUUCCUUUAUUAAUGAGAAUAUUGAGGUCUGGAGUGGGCGAGGGUCGUGCGUGGGGUCCUCUCAGCUCAGUGGUGGCAGAGCCGGAACCCGAACCGGAGAAUCCUGACUUAGGCGGGUGCUAUUUCUGCCAUAGCAGUCUGCCUGGAUGAUGAGAGAACAGUGUCCAUUACCACCCUCCGAUUGUUAUUAUUUUAACAGUGCAUCAAAUAAUUUUACAUUUCUUUGACAUUCUGAAAUUUUGAAAAAAUUUUCGCAUCUGCUGUCUAAUUUGGUUUUCACAAUAGCCUGAAAUUUCACUUGAAAAAUGAAACAAAGAUAACACCCACAAAUGAAGGCAGGCCCUAAAGUUUAAAGAGAAUACGUCCCAUCAGACAAUUGGAGGAAGGGUUCAUCGUUCUCUAGAACUGUGUCUU